rnacentral:rRNA from 1 species
GCUUUUGGUGCCUUCGGGAACUCUGAGACAGGUGCUGCAUGGCUGUCGUCAGCUCGUGUUGUGAAAUGUUGGGUUAAGUCCCGCAACGAGCGCAACCCUUAUCCUUUGUUGCCAGCGGCUCGGCCGGGAACUCAAAGGAGACUGCCGGUGAUAAACCGGAGGAAGGUGGGGAUGACGUCAAGUCAUCAUGGCCCUUACGGCCAGGGCUACACACGUGCUACAAUGGCGCAUACAAAGAGAAGCGACCUCGCGAGAGCAAGCGGACCUCACAAAGUGCGUCGUAGUCCGGAUUGGAGUCUGCAACUCGACUCCAUGAAGUCGGAAUCGCUAGUAAUCGUAGAUCAGAAUGCUACGGUGAAUACGUUCCCGGGCCUUGUACACACCGCCCGUCACACCAUGGGAGUGGGUUGCAAAAGAAGUAGGUAGCUUAACCUUCGGGAGGGCGCUUACCACUUUGUGAUUCAUGACUGGGGUGAAGUCGUAACAAGGUAAGCGUAGCGAG